rnacentral:tRNA from 1 species
GCCCCUAUAGCUCAGUGGUAGAGCUACGGCCUUUUAAGCCGCAGGUCCUAGGUUCGAAUCCUAGUGGGGGCA